CGGGUGCAGGACGCAUUCUGUUCUUCCGUUUGACCUGUGGCUUUGGAAGUUGAGACCCUCCCAUCUCUAGGGCAUCAGGUUCGUAAAGGAGCAUUGGAAACGCAGAAGAUAGUCACAUCUUUCAAAAUGAAAGAUGUGCUGAGUGACAAGGCCAAGUGCAUGUCUUCUACUUGGAAGAUUACACAAAUAUUUUCCAAUUUUCCAAUAUUUUUUCUGUAUUGGACAGCAGAAUCUGUUUGCUUCAGAACACUUCUCAAGCUUAACUUAAGGAAUUAUAAUUGAGGGCCACAUUAUAUUAAUAAGUCACAUAAGAAAACCAUUUCUUUCCCCUGGGUAAGAGUUCCCUAAAGUAUAGGUACAGCCGACCUUCUCGGUACUGAAAGCAGGAAGGAAGCCCACCGUGGACACAGAGGAUGGCAGUAAAGACAGCCGUGUGGGACUUCCCUGGCGAUCCAGCAGCUGAGAUCGCCAGCUCCCGAGGCAGGGGUCUGGGCUUGGUCCUGGGUCAGGGAACUACAUCCUGCAUGCCACAGUGAAAGAUUCCACGCGUCAAAACGAAGACCUGGGGCAGUCAAAUAAAUAAAUAUUAAAAAAAAAAAAAAGAAGAAGAAGAAGCAAAGAAUGAAAUUCUUAAGGAAAAAACAGAAGGAAGAAAUCUGUGGGCCGAUCCAGGCAGGCCUCUGUGACUUAGGGAAUAGAAUCACAACCUGGAAGAGCAAACGGGGUGGGCCUGGUGAUGAGAGCGCUUUAGGGUCAUAGGUCGAUGGCAACACUUAAGAAAUGGUCGCUUAGCCUCAUCCUUGGAGCCAAGACAGAAGAGGCCCUUCUCCCCUUGCUACAGCAGCCCCCGCCUUCCCAGCCUCAGUCCCCGAGUCUUGUUUCUGUGGACAAUGAAAGCAAACCCCAAGGAGAACAAAGCCCCACAUGUGUUCCAGGAGAUUUUGUUUAUGAAGGGUCGGAUAUCUGGUUGAAGCAUGAGAUUAAAAAAAAAGGGAAUAAAGAAAUGGGAAGGCAGAAAAUACAGAUCCAUGUGUUUCCUGAAAGAUGUUAUUUCUUUUAUGUAAAUAAUUAUGUUUUUAAAAUUCUAGAGGAUGAGGUGGUUGGAUGACAUCACUUACUAGAUGGACAUGAACUUGGGCAAACUUCAGGAGGUGGUCAGGGACAGGGAAGCCUGGCGUGCUGCUGCCCAUGGGGUCGUGAAGAGGAGGACCCAACUUGGCGACUGAACAUCAACAACAAUUCUAGAAUCUAUGUUCUCUUCCUUCUCCUCCUCCCAAGAGCACAAAGUCUGAAGGACCCGUGCGUGGAGCAGCCCACAGGAAGCGCUUUCCCUCCACGCUGCAUCUCGGCCCCUGGGAUGGGAGUGUGCCCCAGCACGGUCUUCUGAGGUCCCCACUCCUGCACUGACUCCCACCUCCCCCCAGGCUCUGGGCUCCCUACUCUUCACUGCUCUUGGUUCCCUUCUGCCCUCCUGGACCGGAUUACAGAGGUCAAAGCCCAGGGGGUUUAAACGGAUAGUACAGAUUCUCUGAUUUUGUUACCAUUUUAUGCUGGGAUUUUGUAUACAAGGAGCUUUGGCGAGAUUCUCCAGUCCUCCAGGAUUCUUCUCUUUGGAGAGAAAUCUCAGCCCCACAAAGGGAUGGACGCAUCAGAGGAGACAGUGCCCAGAGCUUGUGCAGUGCGGGCCUGAGCAUCACAGCAGCUCCUUUGAAGGAUCGCUCCUCCUUCAGGAAACUCAGACGAGUGUCACGAGCUCCUGACCCUUCCUGACCUGAAAGUUGACCCCUGUAACUUCUCUGCAGCCCACAAAACCGGGGUGACCCCCUUGGAGAUCCUUCUCAUCUCCUUUUUGCCUUUUCAAACAUCCUCAUUCUCAGCUGUUCUUCCUAGGAUAUGAUUCUUCUCUCCAAGUAGGUUCCAGUCUAUUUUUACCAACAAAGCAAAUAUUUUAAAACUACCAUUUUGAUGGAUCUGUUAAAGUUCAUAUAUGUCAAUUGUUAAGCUGUACACCUUAACCAUGUACAACUUUUAAUCAUCAAUGAUACUUCGCAAUCCAGGAAAAAUUUUAUAUUUAUAAAAACAUAUAUAUAUAUAUAUAACAUUUUAUAUGUUUAUAUGUAAUAACUUUCUAUUCUGUAGCUUACUUUUAAAAAAAACUUAUGCUUCCUUUUUUAAAAUGCUCUUAAGACAUAUUUUAAAUGAUUCUAAUUAAUGAUGGUUCUAGAGAAGGAAACCUUUCUACAACUGUUGGUGGGAAUGUAAAUUGGUGCAGUCAUAAUGGAGAACAGUAUGAAGAUUUCUUAAAAAACUAAAAAUAGGGUUCUGAUAUGAUCUAUCAAUCUUAAUUCUGGACAUAUACUCAGGAAAGAUGAAGACUCUAAUUUGAAAAGACAUGUGCACCCCAGUGUCCAUAUCUGCACUGUUUAUAAUGGCCAAGACAUGGAAGCAACGAGAGUGCCCAACAACAGGUGAAUGAUAAAGAAAAUGUGGUGCAUGUAUACAAUGGCAUACUACUCAGUCAUAAAAAAGAAUGAAACCAUGUCAUCUGUAACAACAUGGAUGGGUGGAUGUAGAGAUUCUCAUGCUAAGUGAAGUAAAUCAGAGAGGUCAUGUAUCCUGUAUGUCACUGAUAUGUGGAAUCUGAAAGAAAUGAUACAAAUGAGCUUAUUUACAGAACAAAUAGCCGCACAGACAUAGAAAUCAAACUCACGGUU